GAUGAACGCUGGCGGCGUGCCUAAUACAUGCAAGUCGAGCGAACAGAUGAGGAGCUUGCUCCUCUGACGUUAGCGGCGGACGGGUGAGUAACACGUGGAUAACCUACCUAUAAGACUGGGAUAACUUCGGGAAACCGGAGCUAAUACCGGAUAAUAUAUUGAACCGCAUGGUUCAAUAGUGAAAGACGGUUUUGCUGUCACUUAUAGAUGGAUCCGCGCUGCAUUAGCUAGUUGGUAAGGUAACGGCUUACCAAGGCAACGAUGCGUAGCCGACCUGAGAGGGUGAUCGGCCACACUGGAACUGAGACACGGUCCAGACUCCUACGGGAGGCAGCAGUAGGGAAUCUUCCGCAAUGGGCGAAAGCCUGACGGAGCAACGCCGCGUGAGUGAUGAAGGUCUUCGGAUCGUAAAACUCUGUUAUUAGGGAAGAACAAAUGUGUAAGUAACUGUGCACAUCUUGACGGUACCUAAUCAGAAAGCCACGGCUAACUACGUG
rnacentral:rRNA from 1 species